GAAACUGCAGUCUGUAUAAACCCCUAGCAGUAGCAGCUUUUGCCUAGCAAAAGGGAGAACUUGAAUACUACAAACCCUCUCCCGCGUGGUAAAUUAUCAAGCUUGCUAGUGUAAUGCAGUAUAAAUGAUGGCGAUUUCAGCAAAUUAUUGUUUUGGAACCCUAGCCCGAAAAUCAAACUCCAAGUUUGUUCACCAUGGGAUAAUUCGAAGUUCUUUUUCUCCUAAAGAUGAUCUUAGAGGACAGACUGUAGUUGUUGUUGGUUUGGGUGCUUCUGGAAGAUCAGCUGCCAGGCUUGCUCUUACAAGAGGUGCUUCAGUUUUGGCGAUUGAUAAGAAUGAGAAGUUGGUUCCACUCGAGCAUGAUCCCUUGUUUGAGAAGUAUGAUAAUUUGAGAACGAUGCUUGGACAUUGUGAUAGAGAUAUCUUAGAGAAGGCAGAAAGGGUGGUUGUUUCCCCUGGAGUUCCUCUUCAGAACUAUGGUCUUUCAUCACUUCUGCAGUCAGGUAGGCAAGUGAUCUCUGAGAUUCAGUUUGCAUCAGAAGUUCUUCCAAAAUCCAUCAAAGUUUUAGCAGUAACAGGAACUAAUGGAAAAUCUACUGUUACAUCUUUUGCUGGACAGAUGCUUACUCAUCUAGGCUUCAAGACAUUCAUUGGAGGGAAUCUUGGGACCCCACUUUCAGAAGCUUCAAUUCUAUGCUUGACGUCCAGUGUGCAAACUAAAUAUCAGGUUGCAGUGGUUGAGGUCAGCAGCUACCAAAUGGAGAUUCCAAGCAAGUGCUUUUGUCCUUCGGUCGCUGUGGUCUUAAACCUAGCUCCUGAUCAUCUGGAGAGACACAAGACGAUGCAGGAUUAUGCAUCAAUUAAAUGUCGUGUAUUUUCUCACAUGAGUCACAGCAAGCUGGCAGUUCUUCCCAUUGGUAAUGAACAUUUGAAUAAAGCUUUCAGAAAUUAUGCACACAACUGCCAUGUUGCUUGGUUAGGUGCUCAUCCAGGUGUCAAGAUUGACAUGGAAGCAAAGGUUGCUGACUUGAAAUUACCCUCCAAGGGAAUUGAUUCUCGGGUACAAUUGGGAUCAAUGAAGGCAAUGGGGAACCACAACUAUCACAAUGCAGCAGUUGCUGCACUUUCUGUACUCGGUUUGGAUAUGGGGAUUGAAGCUGAUUCUAUCAGUGAACUAGCAGAGACAUUGAAAAGUCUACCACAUCGGAUGCAAAUUGUACAUAGAGAUACAUAUGGGGUAACGUGGGUGGAUGACAGCAAGGCAACAAACGUGGAAUCAACGUAUACAGGGCUGAUGGGUCUUAAAGAACAGAAGGCAGUGGUUUUACUUGGUGGUGUUGCGAAGGUAAUAGAGGAUACAAAUUCUAAUGGUUUCAGAAAGCUAGUGGGACCUCUAAUGCACCAUAGGUGUGUCAUUACAUUUGGAUUUUCAGGGAGUAUGAUUUACGAGACAUUGCAGGCUGGUGGUCUAACAAUACCAUGUAUUAGAGUUAAAACUCUGGAGGAUGCUGUGAGCUGCGCAAGGAGCAUUGCUGAAAAUGGAGAUACUAUUGUACUAACUCCUGGUUGUGCAAGCUUUGACGAGUUCAAAAAUUUUGAGCACAGAGGGAAGGUCUUUCAGAAAUUGGCCUCCACAUCCUGAUAAUUUUGUGAUCUGGCCUUCAGAGGCAAGAGACACCUUGUACUUAGUAGAGGUUUUUUGUGUCUAAAAACUAAGAGCAAAAGGUGAUGGGAGUGGAAUGCAAGUUGUUGCUUAUUCAAAAUAUAAUAUUUAAGGUGGCAGGUUUGAAGUGAUGAACACAUGUUAGCACUUCAGCAUUUGUUCUUGAUGCUAGUUAUAACUCCACCCUCUAUAUCAAGGAGAGUCAGAACUUCAGGUCUGCAAGUUGGAAUAACCAAUACAAUACCGAUAGGAUGCUGGAAGUAUGUGGCAGCUGGCUAAACCCCUAUGGUUAGAAAACUUUGUGUAUUACAUUGGAUAUUUGCACGUCAAUCUGAUUGUAUGUCUCAGAUGGAUCAUGGCCAGGGAAAAGUUGUGUACUGCAUAAUUCUUGAGGUCAUUAGCUAGUUUUUUCUCUAGGUUGUUAUACAUAUUCUUUUAGUGAACUGUCACUAAGAAGAUAGACCUUCUCUUGCUAAAUUAUAAAAGCUUCACUGAUAAAGGAUGUAUAUUUCACUAUCCUGUCCUGGGUUAUCUUAAGUCUUUGAACGCCGAAGAACUUAAACUUUGUAACAUAUUAUUUUGUGAAAUUAGAUCUUCUUG